GGAGCUAUUAGCUCAGUGGUAGAGCGCUUGCCUAGGAAGCGCAAGGCCCUGGGUUCGAUCCCCAGCUCCA
rnacentral:tRNA from 1 species